CUGUGUGGCCAUGCCACCCUAAACGCAUCUGUUUGGCAUAGCUAAGCGGGAUUGGGCCUGGUUAGUAAAUGGAUGGAGAAUGCCUGGGAAUACUGGGUGCUAUAUGCU
ensembl:rRNA 5S_rRNA 5S ribosomal RNA